rnacentral:lncRNA from 1 species
UCCAGGAUCAGUGGGGAUGAGUUUGAACUUGGAAGGAGAAUGGCAUUAUCUAUAGAGGCUGAUGCAGGAGAGACCCAGCCUCCGGCUGUGACCCCCAGCCUCACACCUGCCUCUGGUUCCCGCCUGGUCCUCCAGCUUCAGGACCCCACCUCCAAAGGCCCCUCUGCUCAAUGCCUACCUCCCUAGGGCCCUGCUGGGACAUGGGGGCCUGAGUGCCCAUCCAAGGGCUCUCAAGGACACCGGCAAGGCCUCCAGGCCCUGAGCCCCACUUCUGCCUUCACCUCUGCCUGGGACCCGAGCUGGGCUCCUGGGCCUUGGUCCCCAGAAGAUGGCGGCUAGGGCCUCGCCGCCAGGACAGAGAAGGGACGGGGUGGCUGGGCAGUCAGGGAAGGAGGGUCGCCCGGAUCCGACAUUUUGGAGAGAUUCCUUCACUCUCCUGUCCCCCCUACCUCCCUUCUCUAAUUUCUUCUUUUUUUUAAUGAUAAAGUCUUAAAAACACGGAGCCACCAACUGGAGUU